CUCGCCCUGCUGUUAGAAACACCCCUAACGGCCGUACUCAUGCAACCGUUAGACCUCCAGGUGUUUUGGACUUCCCCUCCCAGGAUUCCCAAUCAUUGGCCAACCUUGCUAGGGCUUCUGGGAAUUGAAGUCCGAAACGACUUGGAGACGCGCGGCUUGGUUGUGGUUACUGCGCACGUUCAGUAUCAGAGAAGUCAUAUUUGUUUAGGGCAAGGACUCCGGUGGCUGCUGCUGCGCAUGCUCAGUACUAGAGUAGGCGACGGCAGUGGCGGGCUCUCAGUGAACCGGUUGCGACAGGAGAAGGAAAAGCACCUGGAUGUAUUUGGAAGGACUAUUUGUGGCAUCCGAGUUUAUGGUUGUGUCAGAGAAGAGGUCUACACGGUGACCAAGGUUAUUACAAGGUAUCUUGGUUAGUAUUCCUUGUUUCAGUGUCUGUGGUAGGAACACCUUCAGGUAAUUGAUUCCUCUUAGUAUUUCAGUAGGAGAUAGGUUUGUGGCACUACAUUUACAGUACAUGUAUAAAAAGAACAAUAACAUACAUAAAAUAGAUAUGUCACAGCGCCUCUAUUAUUGCACUUAUAUUAACAUUAAAUCAAUACAUAACUAAUACAAGAUAAUCAAAGUAAUGUUCAUAUGACUUACAUUUCAUUAAGCAAUCACUGGCUCUUCUGCAGGAUAUUCUAUUGCGAGCAAUUGCUCAUAAUCCUGGUAGACCUUAAAUACAUGUUAUAAGUAACAAGUAAAGUCAAGUUUUGUCGAAGGCUUUCAUGUCGGAAGUUAUUAUUAUUUAUUUAUUUUUCUCCCGGUUUUCUCCCACGAAGCGGCGUACAUAAGACUGCAACAGAUACAUAAUGCAUAAUAAAAAAUCCCACAUCCCAACAUAUAAACAAUAAAACACACUUUAUAUAAACCCGAAUUACAAAGACAUAAAUAAGCAUAAAAGACACAUAUAUCAUUGUCAGUUUAAAAAACUCUAUACCUCCAGCUUAAAACAUAAGCUGCACAAUUCAGAGCACCAUAUCUUUGGCUAUGUAAGCUUUGAGGCCUUAUCUGACCAAAAUGACUAGUCUUGGGUGUUAUCAGGGAAGGCCUGUAGACCCUCCACUAGGGACUAGGGAAAGUAGAAAAACCACAAAUUAAAAAACACUUUCCCCCCUGAGAGAAAAUCUCGAGGAAUCUGU
rnacentral:lncRNA from 11 species